rnacentral:sRNA from 1 species
CAACUUUUUAAAAGGCAUCUGACCACUCUUCUUGAUACCCCUCCCUCAGAAUCUGCGUGUGAAGUGGGCUGAAUGUAACGAGACAGCUUCCAUAUGAGGGGUAGAGUUCAUGGUGGCAGAGCAGAGGCAGAAGAUGGCUGGAACAGUGGCUGGGGGUGCACAUCUCGAACUACAAACAGGAGGGCAACUUGAAAUGGAAGAAGUCUUUUGAAACCUGAGAGCCCAGUGCCCAGUGGCCUACAGCCUUUAACAAGGCCAGACCUGUGAAGCCUCCCGAAACAGCUACCACUGGGGACCAAGUCUUCAUACUCCUGAGGCUUACAAGGGGAAUCUCUUUCAAACCAUCUCUUUAGGUGGUCAGUAUCACAUCUGACACUUGUUAAUGGGCACAGUAAAGAUUAAAUGUGCUUCAUCACAUGCAUGAGAGACACCAGAGGCCUCAAUGUUCAUUGUUAUGGUUGGUCUUAAAAGUAAAGGUCCAAGUCCAGGACUGUAGGCCUUCUGGAUGCCUUCCAAGAAGCGAGGGUGAAGUGAGCUUUGGCCUGGAGUAAUACUCCCUGUCACUGAUUAACCA